rnacentral:rRNA from 1 species
UACGGAGGAUCCAAGCGUUAUCCGGAUUUAUUAGGUUUAAAGGGUGCGUAGGCGGAAAUCUAAGUCAGUGGUGAAAUCCUACGGCUUAACUGUAGAACUGCCAUUGAUACUGGGUUUCUUGAAUGCGGUUGAGGUAGGCGGAAUGUGUAGUGUAGCGGUGAAAUGCAUAGAUAUUACACAGAACACCGAUUGCGAAGGCAGCUUACUAAACCGUGAUUGACGCUGAGGCACGAAAGCGUGGGGAG